CAAUAGCGUAUAUUAAAGUUGUUGCGGUUAAAAAGCUCGUAGUUGGAUUUCUGUCGAAAACGGCCGGUCCGCACUAUGUGCGUGUAUCUGGUUCGGUUUUGGCAUCCUCAUGAAGAACGUAACUGCGCUUGAUUGCGUGGUGCGGUAUUCAUGACUUUUACUUUGAAAAAAUCAGAGUGUUUCAAGCAGGCAGCUCGCUCUUGCAUGGAUUAGCAUGGGAUAAUGAAAUAGGACUUUGGUGCUAUUUUGUUGGUUUCGAACACCGAAGUAAUGAUUAAAAGGGACAGUCAGGGGCACUCGUAUUCCGCCGAGAGAGGUGAAAUUCUCAGACCAGCGGAAGACGAACCACUGCGAAAGCAUUUGCCAGGGAUGUUUUCACUGAUCAAGAACGAAAGUUAGGGGAUCGAAGACGAUCAGAUACCAU
rnacentral:rRNA from 1 species